AAGAGACGUUGCCCUUCGGGGUAUACCUCCCACCCUUUGUUUAUUAUACCUUUGUUGCUUUGGCGGGCCCGUCCUCGGACCACCGGCUUCUGCUGGUCAGUGCCCGCCAGAGACCUAAAACUCUGUUUGUUAAUAUUGUCUGAGUACUAUAUAAUAGUUA
rnacentral:misc_RNA from 1 species